UUAAAACUUAUGAUAGAGCAAGUAAUGAUACCACUAUUGGCUAGAGAGAAAAAGACAUGGGCUGCAAUCUUUUUCACAAAAAUGUAUCAUGAAUAACACUCUUGAAGUUCUUUAAUGAAAUGUAGUAGUUAAAGACGGUUACGAGCCGUUAGUCGUUUGAGGUGGGCAAACUUUUUGCCAACUAGGGUGGAACCGCGGAAGCUAUUAGCUCUCGUCCCUUGC
rfam:Lysinibacillus sp. BF-4 contig00003, whole genome shotgun sequence.